CGUAGGGUGCGAGCGUUGUCCGGAAUUAUUGGGCGUAAAGAGCUCGUAGGCGGUCCGUCACGUCGGGCGUGAAAAUCCAGGGCUCAACCCUGGACCUGCGCCCGAUACGGGCGGACUAGAGUUCGGUAGGGGAGACUGGAAUUCCUGGUGUAGCGGUGAAAUGCGCAGAUAUCAGGAGGAACACCGGUGGCGAAGGCGGGUCUCUGGGCCGAUACUGACGCUGAGGAGCGAAAGCGUGGGGAGCGAACAGGAUUAGAUACCCUGGUAGUCCACGCCGUAAACGUUGGGCGCUAGGUGUGGGGGACCUUCCACGUCCUCUGUGCCGCAGCUAACGCAUUAAGCGCCCCGCCUGGGGAGUACGGCCGCAAGGCUA
rnacentral:rRNA from 1 species